GUUAAAAACAGAGAGAAGCUUAUUAAAAACAGAAAGAAUUCUUCAUUAAAAAUGGUAGAGUUGUCAUGAUCUGUUUCAUGGCGAAGAACUACCGAUAGUUAGGGUUUUAAUUUUAUGUUUAUUUAAUUUGAUUAUUACUCACAUGCAGUUGAAUCAAGGUUCUGUUUUCCAUCACUUGCUGUUGAAUCGAUGUCAUGGUUCAUCGAAUUUAAGGGUUUGCUCCAUCACAGUUGAAGGAAGACGAAGAGAUAUCAAACCCCGUUCCAUUUUUCAUAGUUUGUUGCAUAGAUAUAGUUUAAUUUUGUUUAUUUAGAACAUGCAAUUUUGGGUUUAAGAAGAAUUUGAUUUAUUACUGAUUUCAAACAUUUAAUUUUGAUUGCAAUAAUUACGGUUCAACAGAUGAAAUUUUAUUUUUAAGGUUCUUAAAAUUAGGGAUUUUCAAGGCUCAGAUAAAGAAGAUGACUUCUUUUCCAUUUAGUUUUGCUUUUUUCUCCACAAAACACUUAAUUAAUUAAUGAAAAUCAUGACCAUCCAUGAACUUUGAAAUACGAAGUAGGAAAUUAGAUGCAUAUUUCUAAGGUUGGAUGGAAAAGGUGACGGUGGGGUAUUUUCUCAUAAUUUUUUUUUUCAUGGGACAUUUUUCCUAUGGGGAAUCGAAAUAUAGGGUAUUUUUCCAGUUUUUUCAAAGAAGUAUUUUCGUCUGCUGGUAGAGAAAAAGAAGAAUCUUGAAGAUUUGUUGGAGCUUGAAUUCCCAUGUCCUCCUUAAAUAAUGUUUUGAAGAAAGAAAUUAAUUCAUCUGCUAUAUCAAUUGGUUUAGUUAGCCAUUGUCCAUUAGGAUCAGAUUCUUGGAAUAAUACUCAGUCGAUUUCUUACUGGUUUCGUAGUAUAAAUAGAUCUCAUGGUGUGCAAUUAAAUGGAGUUCUUCAUUGGUUAGGUGUCUUUGGAAAAACGACUACUGAAGUCAUUGUGUCUUUCGAUGUUUCUAACGAGAGAAUUGCAGAUUUACCACUCCCAGAAGAAAUUAUGUUAUUGUCACUAUUGCGUAAAACUAAAACUGUGGGAGUAUUAGGAAAAUGUCUAUGUUUACUUGUUGAUAUGCAUUGCUCCGAGUGUGACAUGUGGGUGAUGCAGAAUUACAAAGUGAAGGAAUCCUGGGCUAAACAGUUUACCAUUACCGAGGGUCUGAAAUGCUGCUACCAGCUGUGAAGGCAAAAAUGACACAUUGAAUAAGAACCUAUCUGGAGUAGAAAUUGGGUUCAAAAUUUUCUUCUUGAUUUCUCAAUUUAGGUCAUGGGCUAAAGGAGGUGCUGUCAUGGGGUUUUAUGAGGCUACAUCAUGAGAUUCGAUCAAUCAACUGCAACUUGGGUUUGGAUGGGGUUAUCUUAUUUUUGGAUAUAUCUCAUAAGUUUCAAUUUUUCUUCAUAUAAGAUAUGAAGUUUAGUCAUUCAAAGGAUUUGGGGGUUUUUGAGAUCCUACUCUGGUAGGGAUUUGAUUAUUUUCGACUUCUGUAAAGAAUCUACUUUUAAUUCAAGAAAAGUUUCAGAUAA